rnacentral:rRNA from 1 species
AGAGUUGAUCCUGGCUCAAACGAACGCUGGCGGCGUGGAUUAGGCAUGCAAGUCGAACGAGAAAGCGGACUUCGGUCCGUUAGUACAGUGGCGAACUGGUGAGUAACAGGUGGGUAACGUACCUCGAUGUGAGGAAUAACUCCUGGAAACAGGGGCUAAUACCGCAUACGAUGCUAGGCUCUUCGGGACUUAUCAUCAAAGGCAGGACUUCGGUCCGGCCGCAUUGAGAUCGGCCCGCUUCCCAUUAGCUAGUUGGUGGGGUAAUGGCCUACCAAGGCAACUAUGGGUAGGUGGCCUGAGAGGGUGGUCACCCACACUGGGACUGAGAUACGGCCCAGACUCCUGCGGGAGGCAGCAGUCUAGAAGCAUCGACUAAGGCACGAAAGUGUGCUCGUGCGACGCCGCGUGUGUGACGAAGCCCUUCGGGGUGUAAAGCACUGUCAGUAGGGAAGAAGGCCCAGCAGGUCAUCUUGUUGGGUUUGACGGUACCUGCAGAGGAAGCGCCGGCUAACUCCGUGCCAGCAGCCGCGGUAAUACGGGGGGCGCAAGCGUUGUUCGGAUUUAUUGGGCGUAAAGAGCGCGUAGGUGGGCAAGUAAGUCUGGUGUGAAAUCUUCACCGCUCAACGGGAAGGAGCCACUGGAAACUGCUUGUCUUGAGGCCGGUAGAGGUAGGGGGAAUUCCUGGUGUAGCGGUGGAAUGCGUAGAUAUCACGAAGAACACCGAUUGCGAAGGCGCCCUACUGGGCCGGUCCUGACACUGAGGCGCGAAAGCCAGGGGAGCGAACGGGAUUAGAUACCCCGGUAGUCCUGGCCGUAAACGAUGAGCACUAGUUGU